rnacentral:rRNA from 1 species
AAUACUCCGCCGGCGACCGGCGCACGGGUGCGUAACGCGUAUGCAACCUACCUUUAACAGGGGCAUAACACUGAGAAAUUGGUACUAAUUCCCCAUAACAUUCGAGAAGGCAUCUUCUUGGGUUAAAAACUCCGGUGGUUAAAGAUGGGCAUGCGUUGUAUUAGCUAGUUGGUGAGGUAACGGCUCACCAAGGUAACGAUACAUAGGGGGACUGAGAGGUUAACCCCCCACAUUGGUACUGAGACACGGACCAA